rnacentral:rRNA from 1 species
UACGGAGGGUGCAAGCGUUGCUCGGAAUUAUUGGGCGUAAAGGGGAGGUAGGUGGUCUCAUUUGUCUGGGGUGAAAUCCUUGGGCUUAACUCAAGAAGUGCCCCAGAAACGGUGAGACUAGAGUACUGGAGAGGGUCGUGGAAUUCCCGGUGUAGCGGUGAAAUGCGUAGAGAUCGGGAGGAACACCAGAGGCGAAGGCGGCGACCUGGACAGUUACUGACACUCAACUCCGAAAGCGUGGGGAGCAAACAGG